rnacentral:sRNA from 1 species
CUAAAGUUGUGUCCUUACAGAUAAGGUC